rnacentral:lncRNA from 1 species
UCACUCGAAAGAUCGCAUGACAUAGUGGACCAAGAGACAACAGGUAAGUGCCCUACCUUGACCACUCGUGUCCCCGCUGCUUGGACUGCCACCCCGGGGUGCUCUU